UAAACACAAUUAAUUUUAACCCACAAGUAUCGAAUAUUGUAUGUAUAAAAUAAGAGCCUGGAAGAAAAAUAUUACGUGAAUAGAAAGUUAGUCUUUGCUGGCUACAACAUUUUUCCACUCAUUUCUUAUAUGGACAAACUGAAAAGAAUGAAUGAACUUCCGUUUAAUACUCAACUUGGUCUUAAAGAUACAUUUUGAUUGGUUGUGACGUAAGAGCUAACUGCCCAAUUAACUUAUUUUGGCUGUAACCGGCGCUAACUUCUUUCCUUUUCCGAUUUGAACGAUCAAGCGAUCAGAGGGAGAGAGAGACUAUUAAAGUAAAAUGGACAAGCAAGUAACAACCGCUCGUGUGAUCAAAGUCUUGGGCCGUACAGGUUCCCAGGGUCAAUGUACCCAAGUAAAAGUGGAGUUCUUGGGCCAAGAAAAUCGGCAAAUUAUUCGCAACGUGAAGGGACCCGUUCGGGAAGGAGACAUCCUCACCCUUCUCGAGUCCGAGAGAGAAGCCAGAAGAUUAAGAUAAGGACUGGAACAGGCGGCUCUGUCCCUUCUUCUCCCCCUCCUUUACUUUUUCUUUGUCACUCUGAUUUCAUGUCCCUUGAAUAAUUAAAUCAAAUAUAUUUGAAUUAAUACGUUUCAA
rnacentral:misc_RNA from 1 species